rnacentral:rRNA from 1 species
GACGAACGCUGGCGGCGUGCUUAACACAUGCAAGUCGAACGAAGUGGCGAACGGGGGAGUAAUACGUGGGUAACCUGCCCCCCUUUUUGGGAAAAGCUUCGGAAACGGGGUCCAAUACCGAAUAUAGGGGGAUGGGCUCGCGGCCUAUCAGCGUGUUGGUGGGGUGAUGGCCCACCAAGGCGGUGACGGGUAGCCGGCCUGGGAGUGUGACCGGCCACUUUGGGCCGGAGAUACGGCCCAGACACCUACGAGAGGCAGCAGUGGGGCAUUUUGCGCAAUGGGCGAAAGCCUGCUGCAGGGACGCCGCGUGGGGGAUGAGGGCUUUCGGGUUGUAAACCUCUUUCGCUAUCAUUCGGGUAGGUGGAGAAGAAGCACCGGCUAACUACGUGCCAGCAGCCGCGGUAAUAC